ensembl:lncRNA
ACAGAAUCUACUGAGGGCAGAGUCUGGAGGGCAGGGAGCUCCUGUCUCCUCAGGUCCUGGUGGGCACGGAGGGAACCGUACAUACACGGGGAUGGCCGUCCCGAAGGCUCUACCCCGGAGUCGUCCAGACCACUGGGGUCACGGGACGUCCCGGUGUCCUCGGCUCUCCGUCUGGAAAGGGGUUUCGGAGGCGCCCAGUGUUGUGGUGCGGGUUGGACAGCCAGCGACUCACGCACUAGCCCCACGCUGAGCCCGGGAUCCGGGGCCGCGGCUUCUGAGCCCAGAUCGACCGCCCGAGUGGGGACUGGAGACCCUGGCCCCGCUCCGCCCCCUCGGACCCCACUUCUCCCAGGACCCAGCCCGGAGCCCCGCGGAAGCACCACACCCGCGUGAAGAGGCUGGAACGCCCCCCGGAGAGGCUCCAGGAGGAGAUCCUGCUUAGCCCUUGGCAAAGUCCCUGCUGAUAUUUUUUACUCAAAACUAAACUUUAUUCUUAAUCUAAUUGCGAAAGUAAUCCAAGCUCACUGCAGAAACUGCAGACCUUACAGGAAAGCACAAGGCAAAGGAAAACUAGAAAUCCUGCGACCCCGGCAUCCUGGUUCUGCAGAAAUCUUGCCAUCACAGAGUGUGGGAUCCCAGCUGACAACCAGAGAAUGAUGUGGAGGAAAUUUGAUAUUCCUAGUUACAUGUGCAGUUUACAAGUCCCUCAGGGCACCCCGGGACUCCCAGUGAAACGCAUGAUUGAAGAGAUGCUUGGAGAGGCUCUUAACCACAGAUGAGUCAGAGUUGCUGGUUCCGAAAAUUCUCAGACCCUCAGAUGGCAAAUGAUGCUAAAAUGAAGAAAUGGCUUUCAGUCAAAGAUAAAACUCAGGGGACUGUCAGGAAAAUAUGAUACAG